rnacentral:rRNA from 1 species
UACGGAGGAAGCAAGCGUUAUCCGGAAUCACUGGGUUUAAAGGGUGCGUAGGCGGCUUUGUAAGUCAGGGGUGAAAGCCCGCAGCUUAACUGCGGAACUGCCUUUGAUACUGCAGAGCUUGAAUGAUGUUGAGGUCAGCGGAAUGUGACAUGUAGCGGUGAAAUGCAUAGAUAUGUCACAGAACACAAAUUGCGAAGGCAGCUGGCUGGGCCUACUUUGACGAUGAGGCUCAAAAGCGUGGGGAGCGAACAGG